UGGGGAAUAUUGCACAACGGGCGCAAGCCUGAUGCAGCCAUGCUGCGUGUAAGAAGAAGGCCUUCGGGUUGUAAAGUACUAUCAGCGGGGAGUAAGGGAGUAAACUUAAUACCUUUGCUCAUUGACGUUACCCGCAGAAGAAGCACCGGCUAACUCCGUUCCAGCAGCCGCGGUAAUACGGAUGGUGCAAGCGUUAAUCGGAAUCACUGGGCGUAAAGCGCACGCAGGCGGUUUGUUAAGUCAGAUGUGGAAUCCCCGGGCUCAACCUGGGAACUGCAUCUGAUACUGGCAAGCUUGGGUCUCGUAGAGGGGGGUAGAAUUCCAGGUGAAGCGGUGAAAUGAGUAGAGAUCUGGAGGAAUACCGGUGGCGAAGACGGCCCCCAGGACGAAGACUGACGCUCAGGUGCGAAAGCGUGGGGAGCAAACAGG
rnacentral:rRNA from 1 species